UCAUUACAUUGCCCAGGCUGGUCUUGAACUUCUGGACUCAAGCAAUCCUCCUGCUUCAGCCUCCCAAAGUGCUGGGCUUACAGGCAUGAAUCUGUAACCCAAAUGCGUGGCCAGUAUGCAUUUUUUAAGUAUGCAUGAAUAUAAAAGCCUGUGGUCAAAUACUUUUAAACUAGGUUUCAACAAAUAUAUAUCACUUGCCUGUUACUGGUUUAUUGUUAAGAGUUCCAGCUUUGGAUAAAGCAACCUGAGUUUGAAUCUCUUGCUGCUUUAUAGUCAGGAAUUCUUAGGUUGUGAGAGGUUAUUUAACUUCUCUGUGCUUGGGUUUCCUAAUCUGUAAAAUGGGAUAACAAUAGAACUUACCUCACAAGUUUGGGUAUUAUGAAGAUUAAAGAAGAUAGUGUAUGUAAACCUCUUGUCAUCAUUUUUAUCAGGUGUUGUAGUAACAUAAUAAUAUUAUGGACAUAAUAAUAGUCCUCUUUUUUUUGGCUUUUCACCCCUUGGGCAUAGUUCAUGAAUGCGUAUGCCAUUAGUUUUGUGUAGGUAGAGGCCAUCCUUAUGAUACACUUUCAUGGUUAAAAAAAAAUUUGCUACUAUUUCAGGUACCACUUUGAGGUAGUUGGAUUUAAUUCUUAUGGGGUACAGGCUGGCUAAUCUCAUGAAAUCAGCAUUUUAAAAUACACAUUUUCAUUAAACUUUUUUUUUUUUUAAACAGCAAUGAGAUUUAUUUAAUGAAAACUGUGACUAACACUGGCUUUUGCUUUGGGCUGCCUUGAAUUUUCAGUGUGUUUUGUGUAAUUUUGUUAUGUUGAUGAUGGAAUGGAGUUGAGUCCAGUAUUUUCUCUAGAGGUUCACUUAAAUUCAGUGGUGAGUAUGUAGAAAUGUUCCUGCAAGCUCAAGAGCACAUUUGCUCUUGCGUGUACAGGCAAAGGCUUUAGAAGCCAAGGUCAGAAUUCUUAACUUUAAAUAUUACACAGAGAAGACAUUUUGCCCUAUGACCCUAUUCCAAAUAUUGACUAGCCAGGACACAUCUGUGUGGUUUAGUGCAAACUCAUUUCCAUGAGGAGAACAAGGCAAAGUGGGCUAAAAGCAUUAUUUUCACCUCUAAAGAAGAGUUUAAUGAAGCACAUAAGAUGAUGCUUUCACCCAUUAGAAAACUGAAAACAAGAUUCAUUGGUAAGUAAGAGAGAAUCAUGUCAAAAAGAAAUUGAAAGCAAGAUUUACAUUAGAUACAUUUGAGGAAGAUAGCCCCAUCCCUAGGCAAUCUAGAAGUGACUAUUGAAAGAUGACUGUGUUCACUUUGAUACAGUGGUGAUGGGGUUACUAAAUGUUUUUGGAAUUUUGUGAAAAGCUAAGACCGAUUGAGACUAGUCCCUCCAGACUCAAAAUACCAGUAUUCCACUCUCAACAUCAAAGAUGUUUAACAUUUUGACUUUGGUGCCAGCUCCCUAGAAAGUCAUAGAUCUCGCUCAAGCCAGAGGUGCCCAGACUAGUUACUUCUGUGCCAGAAGUGCUGUUUUCAUUUUUCAGGCUUCAAUCUGGCUAAUGUUUUUUAGUUCAUCACAUAAAAGAGAACAAAUGGAUGCUUUGAAAAGAAAAAGAAAUGCUUUCUACUCAUCAGAGCCACUGUAACUGUAAAACAACACCUAAGACAUCUGCACAGAGAUGGAACCUUUCCCUUAAUUAUUUAUUCAUUCAGCACAUUUAUUGAAUGCAGAUUUUUUUUUGUCAGGUUCGAUUCUAGGGUCUGGAGUGCACCAAUGAACAAGGGA